rnacentral:rRNA from 1 species
AGAGUUUGAUCAUGGCUCAGAUUGAACGCUGGCGGCAUGCCUUACACAUGCAAGUCGAACGGCAGCACGGGGGCAACCCUGGUGGCGAGUGGCGAACGGGUGAGUAAUACAUCGGAACGUGCCCCGUAGCGGGGGAUAACCAGUCGAAAGACUGGCUAAUACCGCAUACGCUCUACGGAGGAAAGCAGGGGAUCGCAAGACCUUGCACUAUGGGAGCGGCCGAUGCCCGAUUAGCUAGUUGGUGAGGUAAAGGCCUACCAAGGCGACGAUCCGUAGCGGGUCUGAGAGGAUGAUCCGCCACACUGGGACUGAGACACGGCCCAGACUCCUACGGGAGGCAGCAGUGGGGAAUUUUGGACAAUGGGGGCAACCCUGAUCCAGCCAUGCCGCGUGAGUGAAGAAGGCCUUCGGGUUGUAAAGCUCUUUCGGCGGGGAAGAAAUCGGGUGGGCUAAUACCUCACCUGGAUGACGGUACCCGAAUAAGAAGCACCGGCUAACUACGUGCCAGCAGCCGCGGUAAUACGUAGGGUGCGAGCGUUAAUCGGAAUUACUGGGCGUAAAGCGUGCGCAGGCGGUUGUACAAGACAGGCGUGAAAUCCCCGGGCUUAACCUGGGAACUGCGCUUGUGACUGUACGGCUAGAGUACGGCAGAGGGGGGUGGAAUUCCACGUAGCAGUGAAAUGCGUAGAGAUGUGGAGGAACACCGAUGGCGAAGGCAGCCCCCUGGGCCAGUACUGACGCUCAUGCACGAAAGCGUGGGGAGCAAACAGGAUUAGAUACCCUAGUAGUCC